rnacentral:snRNA from 1 species
AAAAAGGGCGCUCGUCUUGCACGAUACUUCCAUUCGGGGUUCGAAGCCCUGCGUGCAGACGCAUUGCAGUGUCCACGUUCAACUUUAAUAAAUGAUGAGGCGAAUCGCUUCUAUUUUAUUCGAACGUUAUGGAUGCUCCAGUGGGGUAUGGCUUUGCAUAUCCAGUGCAUAAUUUUUGUAAUAUGGGAUACGAGCAGCCAAAGUGCAUUGCUUUUACUU